GAUGAACGCUAGCGACAGGCCUAACACAUGCAAGUCGAGGGGCAGCACAAGGUAGCAAUACUGAGGUGGCGACCGGCGCACGGGUGAGUAACGCGUAUGCAACCUGCCUGUAACAGGGGAAUAGCCUCUUGAAAGAGAGAUUAAUGCCGCAUAAUACGAGAUUCGGGCAUCCGGAUUUAGUUAAACAUUUAUGGGUUACAGGUGGGCAUGCGUUCCAUUAGAUAGUUGGUGAGGUAACGGCUCACCAAGUCAGCGAUGGAUAGGGGUUCUGAGAGGAAGGUCCCCCACACUGGUACUGAGACACGGACCAGACUCCUACGGGAGGCAGCAGUGAGGAAUAUUGGUCAAUGGGCGAGAGCCUGAACCAGCCAAGUCGCGUGAAGGAUGAAGGUCUUAUGGAUUGUAAACUUCUUUUAUAAGGGAAUAAAAAAGAUCACGUGUGGUUUAUUGCAUGUACCUUAUGAAUAAGCAUCGGCUAACUCCGUGCCAGCAGCCGCGGUAAUACGGAGGAUGCGAGCGUUAUCCGGAUUUAUUGGGUUUAAAGGGUGCGUAGGCGGUUUAUUAAGUCAGUGGUGAAAGUUUGCGGCUCAACCGUAAAAUUGCCAUUGAAACUGGCGAACUUGAGUACAGUAGAGGUAGGCGGAAUUCGUGGUGUAGCGGUGAAAUGCUUAGAUAUCACGAA
rnacentral:rRNA from 1 species